CUAAUGGCAGUCAGGCUACCUCUGGCGAGCACAUGGAGGGCUGUGCGGCCCCCCAAAUAAAUGCCACCCCACACCAUGACUGACCCACCGCCAAACCGGUCAUGCUGGAGGAUGUUGCAGGCAGCAGAACGUUCUCCACGGCGUCUUCACUCUGUCACGUGCUCAGUGUGAACCUGCUUUCAUCUGUGAAGAGCACAGGGCGCCAGUGGUGAAUUUGCCAAUCUUAGUGUUCUCUGGCAAAUGCCAAACGCCCUGCACGGUGUUGGGCUGUAAGCACAACCCCCACCUGUGGACGUCGGGCCCUCAUACCACCCUCAUGGAGUCUGUUUCUGACCGUUUGAGCAGACACAUGCACAUUUGUGGCCUGCUGGAGGUCAUUUUGCAGGGCUCUGGCAGUGCUCCUCCUUGCACAAAGGCGGAGGUAGUGGUCCUGCUGCUGGGUUGUUGUCCUCCUACGGCCUCCUCCACGUCUCCUGAUGUACUGGCCUGUCUCCUGGUAGCGCCUCCAUGCUCUGGACACUACGCUGACAGACACAGCAAACCUUCUUGCCACAGCUCGCAUUGAUGUUCCAUCCUGGAUGAGCUGCACUACCUGAGCCACUUGUGUGGGUUGUAGACUCCAUCUCAUGCUACCACUAGAGUGAAAGCACCGCCAGCAUUCAAAAGUGACCAAAACAUCAGCCAGGAAGCAUAGGAACUGAGAAGUGGUCUGUGGUCACCACUUGCAGAACCACUCCUUUAUUGGGGGUGUCUUGCUAAUUGCCUAUCAUUUCCACCUGUUGUCUAUUCCAUUUGCACAACAGCAUGUGAAAUUUGUCAGUCAGUGUUGCUUCCUAAGUGGACAGUUUGAUUUCACAGAAGUGUGAUUGACUUGGAGUUACAUUGUGUUGUUUAAGUGUUCCCUUUAUUUUUUUGAGCAGUGUAUAUUGUUCCAAAAACCUGACAGAGGAGUGCUGCCAAGCUGACCAAGGAGAAGAAAGCCUUCCAAGAGUCCCACAAGCAGACACUGGAUGACUGGCCCAUAUGGAGGAGCUGGAGGAGGAAAUUGAGGCUGAGCGUGAUGCCAGGGCUAAGGUUCAGAAGCAGAUGGUCGAUCUCUCAGUGAGAAGCUGGAGUUGCUGUUUUAAAUUGAGAGAACCAAAAAAAGUGUUCACUACAUGAUUCCAUGUGUGUUAUUCAUAGUUUUGAUGUCCUCACUAUUAUUCUACAAUGUAGAAAAUAGUAAAAAUAAAAACCUUUGAAUGAGGUGUUCUAAAACUUUUGACCGGUAGUGUAAAGUGUUACCCUUACUUCAGUCCCUUGUUUCUCAUCCAGGGUUGAAAAUCAUAGGUGGCUACAGAGAUCAAACACAGGAGGAGUUUGGGAUCUUCAUCAAGUGAGUGUAAAAAAAAAAAAUUAAAAUAAAAACUCUUGAAUGAGUAUGUGUGUCCAAACUUGACUGGUACCCUAUAGGUUUUUCUUUUUUUAAACACACACAUUAUUCCUGUAUGAUGAAAAGCACUUUACAAAUGUAAACUGUUAUAUCGACAGGCCCAAAAUGAAAUGUUUCUAAAAGAAAUAAGCACAACCAUGGUAGCAAUUGAAAAGGAAAACUUUAAAAGAUUGUGGGGAAAUUCUCAGAUGAAAGUUCUCAGAGAACAACAUUGUUUUUGAAUUGUCACCGAUUAUGAGCAGGUAAA